UCAUAGCAUAACGACCUGGCAUCAGGAUGUUAUUAAAGUCACAACGGUGAAAGAUGAGCAUGCGUCCCAUUAGCUAGUUGGUAAGGUAACGGCUUACCAAGGCUACGAUGGGUAGGGGUCCUGAGAGGGAGAUCCCCCACACUGGUACUGAGACACGGACCAGACUCCUACGGGAGGCAGCAGUGAGGAAUAUUGGACAAUGGGCGCAAGCCUGAUCCAGCCAUGCCGCGUGCAGGAUGACGGUCCUAUGGAUUGUAAACUGCUUUUAUACGAGAAGAAACACUCCUACGUGUUGUGUCUUGACGGUAUCGUAAGAAUAAGGAUCGGCUAACUCCGUGCCAGCAGCCGCGGUAAUACGGAGGAUCCAAGCGUUAUCCGGAAUCAUUGGGUUUAAAGGGUCCGUAGGCGGUUUAAUAAGUCAGUGGUGAAAGCCCAUCGCUCAACGGUGGAACGGCCAUUGAUACUGUUAAACUUGAAUUAUUAGGAAGUAACUAGAAUAUGUAGUGUAGCGGUGAAAUGCUUAGAGAUUACAUGGAAUACCAAUUGCGAAGG
rnacentral:rRNA from 1 species